UGUUUCAAAUUCCUACCUUCUGUCAAUUUACGAAUUUUCUAAGUCUAGGUACUUUUAGGGGUUUUUGGUGUUCAGAUUUUAUCUUCUUUUGAUAUCUGAAAAUUCUUUUCCUGCUCUUAAGAUUCGCAGCAACCUGAAGAUUCAUGAUAUCUGGUCGAGGAUUGGAUUCUCUAGCAAGAUGUAGAUGGUAGGCUCAGUAUGUUGUUGAAAUGGCUGCGAAUACUCAGUAUGUUCAGUAUGCUGUGGGGUUAUUCUUGGGUUAUUUUGCGUUUGUGAUCAUGGUAGAAAACUUACAAGUUAGAGUAUCUAGUUUUGAUGAAUCAGUAGGGAUUACUGGAUUAGUAUCAGCCAUAUUUGUUUUGGUUCUGAAUUUCUUUGCUUUUCCACUCUCUCCCCUUCAGAGUUUUCUUGUAUGGAAGCUAGAGCAGUUGUGUUACAAAGUAUUUUAGCACUAUCAACACCUCUGCCAUGGUCAUAUAUAUUGUUCAUUAUAUUGAGGGAAAUUAUAUUCAAAAUGCUGGAAUAUUCCCGUUUUUAUUGGGUUCUCAGGCAUUUCCCCCCUUUUUUGCAUAUGUUUCUGGGAUUUUUCUUAGGUUGAUUUGCUUUUGUUGAAUUUUCUCUCUGGGAUCUGAAUUGGUUACCCAACAGUAAUAAAUAGUUUCUCUGGGAUCUGCUGGUAUUUUGGUUUGGUUUUCUCAUUCAAGAUGUAUCAUUGUAAUUGUUUCAUGUUUGGCUGUAGUAGAUGUUCGAAAUCCCAUAUGUUUGACAUGAUUGCACUAGCAAAUUUUGGAACGAAAUAGAAUGUUCUCCAAAUGUAUAUAUAUUAGGAAUUCCAUUUAUUGAUACAAUAAUUGUUUGUUCCUUUCAAGGUUGGUUUUCCUGGAAAAAUAUUCAUUCAAUUGAGAAACAAACACUGUGUUCUUCUUCAAUGGGAAGGUGGAAAAUCGGACUCCAUAUCUCUUCAAGGAGAUACAGACUUGGAUCAUGAAGAGAGUGAUCAUCUAAACCUGGUCAUCGUACACUUGAAGGAUUUGAGCUCAUUGUGUUCUGUACUUUAAGGAAACUGUUAGAGAACUUCAUCCAAGUUUGUCGUAGUCUGAAGAAUCACAUAGCAUAAUUACUGAUACACUUAAGCAGCUGGAGUCUGCUGUAUUCAGAUUGCGAGAGCUUAAGCUUCAGAGAUGCAGAAGACCCAGGAGCAACAAAAUCGCGCUAAAACCAGCAUACUGGAACCUCUUUUCCACACAACUUCAACAAUGUCAGCAGCAGUGGAGCAAACUCCGCAACCCUUCAUUCUUCGCCUUCAAUAAUCC